rnacentral:rRNA from 1 species
UACGUAGGGUGCAAGCGUUGUCCGGAAUUAUUGGGCGUAAAGAGCUCGUAGGCGGUUUGUCGCGUCUGCUGUGAAAACCCGAGGCUCAACCUCGGGCCUGCAGUGGGGUACGGGCAGACUAGAGUGCGGUAGGGGAGACUGGAAUUCCUGGUGUAGCGGUGAAAUGCGCAGAUAUCAGGAGGGAACACCGGUGGGCGAAGGCGGGUCUCUGGGC